rnacentral:rRNA from 1 species
CACGCCUAAUACAUGCAAGUCGAACGAAGUAGCAAUACUUAGUGGCAGACGGGUGAGUAACAUGUGGGUAUCUUCCCUUUGGUGAGGAAUAACACGAGGAAACUUGUGCUAAUACCUCAUAAGUCUUUACGGAGAAAGCUUUAUGCGCCAUUGGAUGAGCCCGCACUUGAUUAGUUUGUUGGUGGGGUAAUGGCCUACCAAGACUUUGAUCAAUAGCUGAUUUGAGAGGAUGAUCAGCCACAUUGGGACUGAGACACGGCCCAAACUCCUACGGGAGGCAGCAGUAGGGAAUCUUGCACAAUGGAGGAAACUCUGAUGCAGCGAUGCCGCGUGAGUGAAGAAGGCCUUUGGGUUGUAAAGCUCUUUCGUCGGGGAAGAAAAUGACUGUACCCGAAUAAGAAGGUCCGGCUAACUUCGUGCCAGCAGCCGCGGUAAUACGAAGGGACCUAGCGUAGUUCGGAAUUACUGGGCUUAAAGAGUUCGUAGGUGGUUAAAAAAGUUGGUGGUGAAAGCCCAGAGCUUAACUCUGGAACUGCCAUCAAAACUUUUUAGCUAGAGUAUGAUAGAGGAAAGCAGAAUUUCUAGUGUAGAGGUGAAAUUCGUAGAUAUUAGAAAGAAUACCAAUUGCGAAGGCAGCUUUCUGGAUCAUUACUGACACUGAGGAACGAAAGCAUGGGUAGCGAAGAGGAUUAGAUACCCUCGUAGUCCAUGCCGUAAACGAUGUGUGUUAGAUGUUGGAAAUUUAUUUUCAGUAUCGCAGCGAAAGCGAUAAACACACCGCCUGGGGAGUACGACCGCAAGGUUAAAACUCAAAUGAAUUGACGGGGACCCGCACAAGUAGUGGAGCAUGUGGUUUAAUUCGAA